rnacentral:tRNA from 1 species
UCCCUGGUGGCUCAGAUGGUAAAGCAUCUGCCUGCAACAUGGAAGACCUAGGUUCGAUCCCUGGGUCGGGAA